UAUCUACUCCCUCUGUUUCGAAUUAUUUGUCUUGAAUUUAUUUAGAUAUAGAUAUAUUUAGACUCAUUUUAGUGAUAGAUACACGUAUCUAGACAAAUCUGAGACAGGUAAUUUGAAACGGAGGAAGUAGUAG
rnacentral:pre_miRNA from 1 species